rnacentral:rRNA from 1 species
AUUGAACGCUGGCGGCAGGCCUAACACAUGCAAGUCGAGCGAGCGGCGGACGGGUGAGUAAUGUCUGGGAAACUGCCUGAUGGAGGGGGAUAACAACUGGAAACGGUAGCUAAUACCGCAUACCAUCAGAUGUGCCCAUAUGGGGUUGGCUAGUCGGUGGGGUAACGGCCCACCUAGGCGACGAUCCCUAGCUGGGCUGAGAGGUUGACCAGCGACGUUGGAACUGGGACGCGGCACAGGUGCCAACGGGAGGCAGCAGUAGGGAAUAUUGGAGAAGGGGCGAAAGCCUGAGGCAGCCAUGCCGCGUGUGUGAAGGAGGCCUUCGGGUUGUAAAGCUCGUUCGGGGGAGAGGCGUUAGCAGCAGAAGAAGCACCGGCUAACUCCGUGCCAGCAGCCGCGGUAAUUC